AGUCGAGUAGCUGGAUGAAGGAGAGAAGCAGCGUCGGCUAACUACUCACCUUUCAUCCGGAGACCUGCUGCAGUUCCAACACCAGCGUGUGUUAGGCUUUUGUGAAACAGAGCAACGGUCAGGUUUUUGGAGAGGACAGAAAAGUCUGAGGACCAGGACAAAAUUCGGUCGUGAUAGAUGGCGAGCCAACCACUUUGAGGACGAUCUACCCCAAAGAAGAUACACACCCACACACUCAUACAUUUCAAUUACACUCACAAGGACCUUUGAAGUUGGCUAUUGCCAACUUAACUCUAAAUUCUUAAAGGG